rnacentral:rRNA from 1 species
UACGUAGGGGGCUAGCGUUGUCCGGAUUUAUUGGGCGUAAAGAGCGUGUAGGCGGCCAGAUAGGUCUGCUGUGAAACUCGAGGCUCAACCUCGAGAUGUCGGCGGAAACCAUUUGGCUAGAGUCCGGAAGAGGAAAGUGGAAUUCCUGGUGUAGCGGUGAAAUGCGCAGAUAUCAGGAAGAACACCCGUGGCGAAGGCGGCUUUCUGGGACGGUACUGACGCUGAGACGCGAAAGCGUGAGGAGCGAACAGG